rnacentral:rRNA from 1 species
UUCCGGUUGAUCCUGCCGGACCUGACUGCUAUCGGAUUGAUACUAAGCCAUGCGAGUCUUUGUAGCAAUACAAGGCAUACGGCUCAGUAACGCGUAGUCAACCUAACCUAUGGACGGGAAUAACCUCGGGAAACUGAGAAUAAUGCCCGAUAGAACACUAUACCUGGAAUGGUUUGUGUUCCAAAUGAUUUAUCGCCGUAGGAUGGGACUGCGGCCUAUCAGUUUGUUGGUGAGGUAAUGGCCCACCAAGACUAUUACAGGUACGGGCUCUGAGAGGAGUAGCCCGGAGAUGGGUACUGAGACACGGACCCAGGCCCUAUGGGGCGCAGCAGGCGAGAAAACUUUGCAAUGUGCGAAAGCACGACAAGGUUAAUCCGAGUGGUUUCUGCUAAAGGAACCUUUUGUUAGUCAUAGAACCACUAACGAAUAAGGGGUGGGCAAGUUCUGGUGUCAGCCGCCGCGGUAAAACCAGCACCUCAAGUGGUCAGGAUGAUUAUUGGGCCUAAAGCAUCCGUAGCCGGCUCUGUAAGUUUUCGGUUAAAUCUGUACGCUCAACGUACAGGCUGCCGGGAAUACUGCAGAGCUAGGGAGUGGGAGAGGUAGACGGUACUCGGUAGGAAGUGGUAAAAUGCUUUGAUCUAUCGAUGACCACCUGUGSCGAAGGCGGUCUACCAGAACACGUCCGACGGUGAGGGAUGAAAGCUGGGGGAGCAAACCGGAUUAGAUACCCGGGUAGUCCCAGCUGUAAACUAUGCAAACUCAGCGAUGCAUUGGCUUGUGGCCAAUGCAGUGCUGCAGGGAAGCCGUUAAGUUUGCCGCCUGGGAAGUACGUACGCAAGUAUGAAACUUAAAGGAAUUGGCGGGGGAGCACCACAAGGGGUGAAGCCCGCGGUUCAAUUGGAGUCAACGCCGG